rnacentral:rRNA from 1 species
AUUGAACGCUAGCGGGAUGCCUUACACAUGCAAGUCGAACGGAGUGGCGAACGGGUGAGUAAUGUAUCGGAACGUGCCCAGUAGCGGGGGAUAACUACGCGAAAGCGUAGCUAAUACCGCAUACUAUUUGAGCAGCCGAUGUCGGCUGAGCUAGUUGGUGGGGUAACGGCCUACCAAGGCGACGAUCCGUAGCUGGUUUGAGAGGAGGACCCGCCACACGGGAACUGAGAAACGGUCCAGACUCCUACGGGAGGCAGCAGUGGGGAAUAUUGGACAAUGGGGGAAAGCCGGAUGCAGCCAUCCCGCGUGUGCGAAGAAGGCCUUCGGGUUGUAAAGUACUUUCGGCAGGAAGGCGGUACCGGCAGAAGAAGCACCGGCUAACUCCGUGCCAGCAGCCGCGGUAAUAC